CCUACGGGAGGCAGCAGUGGGGAAUAUUGCGCAAUGGGCGAAAGCCUGACGCAGCGACGCCGCGUGAGGGAUGAAGGUCUUCGGAUCGUAAACCUCUGUCAGCAGGGAAGAACGGUCACUGUGCUAAUCAGCAGUGAAUUGACGGUACCUGCAAAGGAAGCACCGGCUAACUCCGUGCCAGCAGCCGCGGUAAUACGGAGGGUGCGAGCGUUAAUCGGAAUUACUGGGCGUAAAGCGCUCGUAGGCGGGAUGUCAAGUCAAGGGUGAAAUCCCCGCGCUCAACGUGGGAACUGCCUUUGAAACGGGCAAACUGGAGUGUGUGAGAGGAUAGUGGAAUGCCAGGUGUAGGAGUGAAAGCCGUAGAUAUCUGGAGGAACAUCAGUGGCGAAGGCGACUAUCUGGCACAUAACUGACGCUGAGGAGCGAAAGCGUGGGUAGCAAACAGGAUUAGAUACCCCAGUAGUC
rnacentral:rRNA from 1 species